CACGCCGUAAACGAUGAUAACUAGCUGUCUGGGCACUUGGUGCUUAGGUGGCGCAGCUAACGCAUUAAGUUAUCCGCCUGGGGAGNGCGCAGAACCUUACCAACGUUUGACAUGUCCAGUAUGGUUAGUGGAGACACUUUCCUUCAGUUCGGCUGGCUGGAACACAGGUGC
rnacentral:rRNA from 1 species